UACGUAGGGGGCGAGCGUUGUCCGGAGUUACUGGGCGUAAAGGGCAUGCAGGCGGUCGGACGCGUUUUGUGUGACAGCGGGUGGCUCAACUGCCCGAGCAUACGAAAGACGGUUGGACUUGAGGACUCGAGAGGGACACGGAAUUCCGGGUGGAGUGGUGAAAUGCGUAGAGAUCCGGAGGAACACCGAAGGCGAAGGCAGUGUCCUGGCGAGUGACUGACGCUGAGGUGCGAAAGCCAGGGGAGCGAACGGG
rnacentral:rRNA from 1 species